rnacentral:rRNA from 1 species
GUUGAACGCUGGCGGCAGGCCUAACACAUGCAAGUCGAGCGGAUGAAAGGAGCUUGCUCCUGGAUUCAGCGGCGGACGGGUGAGUAAUGCCUAGGAAUCUGCCUGGUAGUGGGGGACAACGUUUCGAAAGGAACGCUAAUACCGCAUACGUCCUACGGGAGAAAGCAGGGGACCUUCGGGCCUUGCGCUAUCAGAUGAGCCUAGGUCGGAUUAGCUAGUUGGUGAGGUAAUGGCUCACCAAGGCGACGAUCCGUAACUGGUCAGAGAGGAUGAGCAGGCACACUGGAACUGAGACACGGUCCAGACUCCUACGGGAGGCAGCAGUGGGGAAUAUUGGACAAUGGGCGAAAGCCUGAUCCAGCCAUGCCGCGUGUGUGAAGAAGGUCUUCGGAUUGUAAAGCACUUUAAGUUGGGAGGAAGGGUUGUAGAUUAAUACUCUGCAAUUUUGACGUUACCGACAGAAUAAGCACCGGCUAACUCUGUGCCAGCCGCCGCCGUAAGAC